AGGACGAACGCUGGCGGCGUGCUUAAUACAUGCAAGUCGAGGGACGAAACCGGAGUGGGUAACCACUCUGGCUGAAACCGGCGAACGGGUGAGUAACACGUGGGCAACGUGCCCCAGACUCAGGAACAACAACGGGAAACCGUUGCUAAUGCCUGAUAACCCCUGCGCACCGCAUGGCGUGCAGGGCAAAGCUCCGGCGGUCUGGGAUCGGCCCGCGUCCUAUCAGCUUGUUGGUGGGUAAUGGCCUACCAAGGCGAUGACGGGUAGCGUGGCGUGAGAGCGCGACCAGCCACACUGGAACUGAGACACGGUCCAGACUCCGUACGGGAGGCAGCAGGUGGGAAUGUUGGACAAGU
rnacentral:rRNA from 1 species